UGGGGAAUUUUGGACAAUGGGCGAAAGCCUGAUCCAGCAAUGCCGCGUGUGUGAAGAAGGCCUUCGGGUUGUAAAGCACUUUUGUCCGGAAAGAAAUCCUUGGCUCUAAUACAGUCGGGGGAUGACGGUACCGGAAGAAUAAGCACCGGCUAACUACGUGCCAGCAGCCGCGGUAAUACGUAGGGUGCAAGCGUUAAUCGGAAUUACUGGGCGUAAAGCGUGCGCAGGCGGUUUGCUAAGACCGAUGUGAAAUCCCCGGGCUCAACCUGGGAACUGCAUUGGUGACUGGCAGGCUAGAGUAUGGCAGAGGGGGGUAGAAUUCCACGUGUAGCAGUGAAAUGCGUAGAGAUGUGGAGGAAUACCGAUGGCGAAGACAGCCCCCUGGGCCAAUACUGACGCUCAUGCACGAAAGCGUGGGGAGCAAAACAGGAUUAGAUACCCUGGUAGUCCACGCCCUAAACGAUGUCAACUAGUUGUUGGGGAUUCAUUUCCUUAGUAACGUAGCUAACGCGUGAAGUUGACCGCCUGGGGAGUACGGUCGCAAGAUUAAAACUCAAAGGAAUUGACGGGGUCAUAGCUGUUUCCU
rnacentral:rRNA from 1 species